CAGCACACGGAGAAAGAGCCACCACUCCUUGCUCAGAUGCUUGGCUGUAGACCUGAGGCUCAGGAGAAUUCAGCACCACAGCUAGCUGCAAGGCUCUGUCCCUCUCGCACAAUAUACGCCCCUCUGUUCGUCUCUGUGUCACAACUGUUAAAGGCUUCUCAGCAAUUCGCGCAUCUGUUCUCUGAUCGGCCCCAGACAACGAACACUCGCUUCGAAAGAUUUUUUAAAAAUCACAGCACUGAUACGGGAGGGAAUGGGUGUGUAGACAAGGGGAGCAGCGAAGGCCUGUGACUGGAAAGCACUCUGUGGAAUUCUGUCGGGAGUGAGAAUGCAUCCGGGCAGUUCUUCUAAACCCAUGGCUCCGCCGCCGCGUGUUCCCUCCACAGAGUCACCCGUCCUAUGGAAUAAUACCCAACAAGAGCGCAUUCCCGUCUCCAUGUAGGUCGAAGCUCCCGGAACAGGGCCAUCACUGCUGCCUGUACAGUAUAAACAUAUUCAGCGAUCAUAUGUAGUUACUUUGUUGUGCAUAAAUACAAAUGCAUGCGCGCGUGUGCAGACGCCCGGUCGUAAAGUAGCCGCGCUCGGGGCUUUUGCGUCGGCGCAGAAAAGUAUUUACUCAGUAAUAACGCAAACGAAAAGAGAGUCAUGGACCCAGCGGCUGCCAAGAAACAGGCUGGGUAAACACGGCCAUUAAACAGCUUCAAAUAAGGCCGACACUUACAGCCAUGUGCUCCACCGUCGCUUUAGAAUCCCUGUAUGUGUGUAUGCACUGUGCGCUUCCAGGGGAGAGACUGUGUGUGCGCGAGAGUGUUAUUUAUCCCUAACGUUACUUAUGUACACACUGUAAAUCAUGCUGCUGUGACCUUGCCCUAGGACUUGUGUAUUUAUUCCAGUUUUCCGUAAUGUAGGCGCAGUAAUGUGGGCGUGUCCCACCAGUGCCGCGCUCGGCGAUAUGUGUUAGAUCAUACGUGUGUGUUGGAUCAUGCCGUCAUGCCAUUUUCAUGGAAGCAGAUUCCAGUAUGUGAUGAGAACGGGCAAACAAACUGACCUGAGGGUUAUGACGGACAGGCAAGCAG